rnacentral:tRNA from 3 species
CAGGAGAAAAGGGAUUCGAACCCUUAACCUGUGGUUUUGGAGACCAUUGUUCUACCCAUUA